AGUGAACGCUGGCGGUAGGCCUAACACAUGCAAGUCGAACGGCAGCACAGUAAGAGCUUGCUCUUACGGGUGGCGAGUGGCGGACGGGUGAGGAAUACAUCGGAAUCUACUUUUUCGUGGGGGAUAACGUAGGGAAACUUACGCUAAUACCGCAUACGACCUACGGGUGAAAGCAGGGGAUCUUCGGACCUUGCGCGAUUGAAUGAGCCGAUGUCGGAUUAGCUAGUUGGCGGGGUAAAGGCCCACCAAGGCGACGAUCCGUAGCUGGUCUGAGAGGAUGAUCAGCCACACUGGAACUGAGACACGGUCCAGACUCCUACGGGAGGCAGCAGUGGGGAAUAUUGGACAAUGGGCGCAAGCCUGAUCCGGCCAUACCGCGUGGGUGAAGAAGGCCUUCGGGUUGUAAAGCCCUUUUGUUGGGAAAGAAAAGCAGCAGGCUAAUACCCCGCUGUUCUGACGGUACCCAAAGAAUAAGCACCGGCUAACUUCGUG
rnacentral:rRNA from 1 species